GACGUAGGGCGCGAGCGUUGUCCGGAUUUAUUGGGCGUAAAGAGCUCGUAGGCGGCUCAUUGCGUCAACCGUGAAAACCAGCAGCUCAACUGUUGGCUUGCGGUUGAUACGGGUGGGCUGGAGUUCGGUAGGGGAGACUGGAAUUCCUGGUGUAGCGGUGAAAUGCGCAGAUAUCAGGAGGAACACCGGUGGCGAAGGCGGCUCUCUGGGACGGUACUGACGCUGAGACGCGAAAGCGUGGGGAGCGAACAGG
rnacentral:rRNA from 1 species